rnacentral:pre_miRNA from 14 species
AUCAAAGUACUGAAGUUGAAAGACCCCCGAAGGGAGCCCCCCACUCAAGUCUCGGGAAAGACGCGCACCCAGUAGGACACAGACACCG